GGGAUUGUGGCUCAGAGGAAGAGUGCUCACCUUGAAUGUGUGAGGCAUUGGGUUCGAUCCUCAGCCCCA
rnacentral:tRNA from 1 species